rnacentral:rRNA from 1 species
GAUGAACGCUGGCGGCGUGCUUAACACUUGCAAGUCGAACGGAAAGGCUCCUGCUUGCAGGGGUACUCGAGUGGCGAACGGGUGAGUAACACGUGGGUGAUCUGCCCUGCACUUCGGGAUAAGCCUGGGAAACUGGGUCUAAUACCGGAUAGGACGAUGGUUUGGAUGCCAUUGUGGAAAGUUUUUCGGUGUGGGAUGAGCUCGCGGCCUAUCAGCUUGUUGGUGGGGUAAUGGCCUACCAAGGCGUCGACGGGUAGCCGGCCUGAGAGGGUGUACGGCCACAUUGGGACUGAGAUACGGCCCAGACUCCUACGGGAGGCAGCAGUGGGGAAUAUUGCACAAUGGGCGCAAGCCUGAUGCAGCGACGCCGCGUGGGGGAUGACGGCCUUCGGGUUGUAAACUCCUUUCGCUAGGGACGAAGCGCAAGUGACGGUACCUGGAGAAGAAGCACCGGCUAACUACGUG